GAGACAGCAGUCGCCACGGGAAUACAGAGGGUGCGAGCGUUAAUCGGAUUUACUGGGCGUAAAGCGUGCGUAGGCGGCUUUUUAAGUCGGAUGUGAAAUCCCUGAGCUUAACUUAGGAAUUGCAUUCGAUACUGGGAAGCUAGAGUAUGGGAGAGGAUGGUAGAAUUCCAGGUGUAGCGGUGAAAUGCGUAGAGAUCUGGAGGAAUACCGAUGGCGAAGGCAGCCAUCUGGCCUAAUACUGACGCUGAGGUACGAAAGCAUGGGGAGCAAACAGGAUUAGAUACCCCCGUAGUCCCUGUCUCUUAUAA
rnacentral:rRNA from 1 species